CGGCCGCGGAAGGGGCCCCGCAGAGUGCGGCGCUGCCUUCCUGCCUUCCGGGCACACAGGUGCCCGCCCUUCCCUCGCUCGGUCCAGGCGGCCUCCCCAGAAGGGGGCAACCCUCCACCUGAGAAGUCACAGCCCCGGGACCACCACCCUCCCCGCGGGCUGGAGAGCUCCCGAUGCUUCCCAGAGGCGGCAAAGAAGCCAGCCGAAUGCAGAGGAAGCAAGAGAAGACUCCACGAUGGAAGAAGCCUGAAUCCCCUCCCAGGACAGUUCACAGUCCCAGUGUCUCAGGGAGAAAAUAAACCUGUAUGGUCGUAA